rnacentral:rRNA from 1 species
AGAGUUUGAUCCUGGCUCAGAAUGAACGCUGGCAGCAUGGAUUAGGCAUGCAAGUCGAACGAGAAUCUCAAGCUUGCUUGAGAGGACAGUGGCGAAAGGGUGAGUAACGCGUGAGCAAAUUGCCCUGAAGUUCGGGAUAGCCCGGGGAAACCCGGAUUAAUACCGGAUGUGGCGAUCAUACGCCCGUAUGAUUUGCUAAAGAUUUAUUGCUUCAGGAUGUGCUCGCGUCCUAUCAGCUUGUUGGUGAGGUAACGGCUCACCAAGGCUUCGACAGGUAGCUGGUCUGAGAGGAUGGUCAGCCACACUGGGACUGAGACACUGCCCAGACUCCUACGGGAGGCUGCAGUCGAGAAUCUUCCGCAAUGAGCGCAAGCUUGACGGAGCGAUGCUGCGUGCCGGAUGAAGGCCUUCGGGUCGUAAACGGCUGUCACUCGGGACGAAUAUUUGACGGUACCGAGAGAGGAAGCCACGGCUAACUACGUGCCAGCAGCCGCGGUAAUACGUAGGUGGCGAGCGUUAUUCGGAUUUAUUGGGCGUAAAGGGUCCGUAGGGGGCACUACAAGUCUGGUGUGAAAGUCCAAGGCUCAACUUUGGGAUUGCAUUGGAAACUGUAGAGCUUGAGUACCCGGAGAGGAAAAGCGGAAUUCCUGGUGUAGCGGUGGAAUGCGUAAAUAUCAGGAGGAACACCGAUGGCGAA